AAGCAGCAGAGACCAGACUCUGCUGGACCUGGAUCCAGCUGUGUGUCCAUAAGGAGUGACCGGUCCAAGGGUCAGCCUUUAGUGUUUAAAGGACAACCUUCUUCUGGGUCUCAACUCCAUGUGCAAAGGAAAAAGGAGCUGGCUGAUUGUCUGCAGAGCAGAGCCGUUGCUGCAGUUUGUCGACGUCAAUUCAAAUUUAACCUGCAGAAGAAGUAUCAGUGUGUGUUUGAGGGGAUUGCUAAAGCAGGAAACCCAACCCUUCUGAAUCAGCUCUACACAGAGCUCUACAUCACAGAGGGAGGGACUGCAGAGG